AUUAUUUGGCAUGACACCCCCCAUUCUGAAAUUGGGUUUUUGUCCCUCCUAUUUUAUCAUAGGUUGUGAUACAAAACCAGACCCCUGCAUGCUUUAGGACCACGCGGACGCCUCGGAGCGGCCAGCCCGAUGAUGUAAACUUGUGUUUGCAUUGCUGGGUGGAUUCAGACGUCGAUGGAGUUGGGUAAUGUUAUGUUGGACAUAGAGCAGGUCGUUUUGGGGGAAGAGGUGAUGACCAGUGCCACAGCGUCCACCAUCAAGCCACAGACUGUUCCUGCUAUCCAACCCUAUCAGCAUGACAGCCUACAGUGUUUUCAAUGCUUCAUUACGUUUUGUAAUGCCAAGGCCAAGGAGAGGCACAUGAGGAAGAACCAUCGUGAGGAAUACAAGCAGUCGCUCCAACAGACCGAUACGCUGUUCACCUGUUAUGUGUGCGAUCGUACCUACUCCUCCUCUGAGGAGCUGACACAGCACCAGACCUCACACAGACUGGAAGACAAGCCCUUCCGCUGCCCCCACUGCCAGGGAAGCUUCCGGACCUUCUCUGAGUUGACAGUCCACCGGCGACAGCUGUGCAAGAAGUGGCAGUGUGUGUGCAAGGAAUGUGGCAUGGUAUUCCGGGGCCGAAACCAGUUACGCACCCACCGCCUCACCCAGCACCCCCAGCCACUGGAAGAGGAGGAUGAUGACACCAAGACUCACCGUUGUGGCAAGUGUGGCCGCGGGUUUGAGGCGGAGGUGGAUCUUGUGCUGCAUCAGGAGAACUUUGCGGGUGAUCAGCAUUGCGAUGCAAAUGUCCCGGCCAAAAAACGUGGCCGACCUCCCAAGAAAGUGUCUAAGGCAGCAAACGGAGAGAAGAGUGGUGAAGCUGAGGAGGGGGGAGAGGAGUCUGUGGCAAAAAGAGGGAAAGGACCGGGGGGGACCCCCUAAGGAGGAGCUCCAAAUUCCCUGUCCUGAAGCUGAGUGUGACCUCACCUUCUCCUCUGUUGCCCUUCUCCGGGCCCACAAGAAGGAGAAGCAUGGGCGGCCGCCUCAACCUCGCAAGGCUCACCCCUGCUCUGAGUGUGAAGAGAGCUAUGCCCGGCUGGAGCAGCUCAAAGCCCACAUAGCCAGAGCUCACAGCUCUGGUCGACACAACUGCCCCACCUGCGGCAAGUGCUUUAGUCGGGAGAGCAACCUAAAGGCACACCAGAAGACACACACUGAGGGAGAAGAGGCAACAGACAAAGAAAAGAGAUAAUCUCGGGAAAGGGAAUAUCAUCAUGAAACAUGUAUGUAAUGGUUUAGGGUUUUGAAAAUAUAAUUUUGAGUAAAACAGGCCUUGAUGUGGGUGGGUUUUUGUAUGUUCAAGAUGGGGGUUUGGAAUAUGUGACAUACCAUACACAAAAGCACUUGGAUCAUUAGAUUGUUCCUGAUUGGUCCCACCGUGGUUAUUUUAAAGUGCUUUUAGAAAAACAACAAAAUGUACUGUGUAUAAAACUCUUUAUACAGAUGUGUACAUAAUUGUGAAUUACAACUGCCCCCCCCAGAGUGGGAAUCUAUUUGUUUCCAUAUUGCCAACACCAUUAAAAAAAAUAUAAUUUUGUAUUGAUAUUACGGAUCUAGAGCUAGUCUAACGAGUUGCCUCAAAUGUGAGAAGUUUUUGUAACUUAUAGUAUUGAUUUUAGUAGGUAAUCAAUGGGUUUUAUGGUGUACCAUUCCACUCAUAAUUUAGUUUGUUCCUGUCAAGGCAUCUUCUGAUCAUGUACAUUUGUAUUGGUCUGGAGAAUCCAUCGUUCCGUGAAGGAUGUCAUUGUUGUAUUCAGGUGAUAUUGUACUUUUUUUCAUCCACAAUGAAAUAGUAAUGCAUUAAACUAAGGAGUGAUUUAAA